rnacentral:rRNA from 1 species
UCAAGUUAUUAAGGGUGCAGGGCGAAUGCCUUGGCACUAGGAGCCGAUGAAGGACGUGAUAAGCUGCGAUAAGCUUCGGGGAGUUGCACGUAAACUUUGAUCCGAAGAUUUCCGAAUGAGGAAACUCACUUAGAGUAAUGUCUAAGUAUCGUAUGAUGAAUACAUAGUCAUGCGAGGGGAACCCGGAGAACUGAAACAUCUAAGUACCCGGAGGAAGAGAAAGAAAUUCGAUUCCGUAAGUAGCGGCGAGCGAACGCGGAACAGGCCAAACCAGUGAAGUUUUCUUCGCUGGGGUUGCGGACAUAUCAUAACGAAGAGGUAUCGUAGAAGAAGAGAGUUGGAAAGCUCCGCCACAGAUGGUAACAGCCCAGUAUUUUAAACGAGAAGACUUUAGAUAUGAUCCAGAGUACCACGGGACACGUGAAACCCUGUGGGAAGCAGGAGGGACCAUCCUCCAAGCCUAAAUACUACCUAGUGACCGAUAGCGUAUAGUACCGUGAGGGAAAGGUGAAAAGAACCCCGGGAGGGGAGUGAAAGAGAACCUGAAACCCUGCACUUACAAGCUGUAGGAGCACAUUAUUUGUGUGACUGCGUACUUUUUGUAGAACGGGCCAACGAGUUACGUUGUGUAGCAAGGUUAAGCACUUAAGGUGUGGAGCCGUAGCGAAAGCGAGUCUUAAAUGGGCGUCCAGUUACCCGACGUAGACCCGAAACCAGGCGACCUAUCCAUGAGCAGGUUGAAGCGAAAGUAAAAUUUCGUGGAGGACCGAACCCACGUACGUUGAAAAGUGCGGGGAUGACUUGUGGAUAGCGGUGAAAUUCCAAUCGAGCCUGGAGAUAGCUGGUUCUCCCCGAAAUAGCUUUAGGGCUAGCCUCAAGCUUAGAGAAACGGAGGUAGAGCACUGAAUGUCCUAGGGGGUAUUGCACUUACCGAAGACUAUCAAACUCCGAAUGCCGUAUUCUUUUGCUUGGGAGUCAGACUAUGGGUGAUAAGAUUCAUAGUCAAGAGGGCAACAGCCCAGAUCGUCAGCUAAGGUCCCUAAAUGUAAGUUAAGUGGUAAAGGAUGUGGAAUUGCACAGACAACCAGGAUGUUGGCUUAGAAGCAGCCACUCAUUAAAAGAGUGCGUAAUAGCUCACUGGUCGAGUGACUCUGCGCCGAAAAUUUAACGGGGCUAAACUAUACACCGAAGCUUGGGAUACAUCUAAUGUAUGGUAGGAGAGCGUUCUGUAUGGGGAGAAGUCGUAGCGAAAGCGGCGGUGGACUAUACAGAAGUGAGAAUGCCGGAAUAAGUAGCGAGAAUUAAGUGAGAAUCUUAAUGGCCGAAAGUCUAAGGUUUUUGGAGGAAGGUUCGUCCGCUCCAAGUAAGUCGGGAGCUAAGGUCAGGCCGAAAGGCGUAGCCGAUGCACAUACGGUUGAUAUUCCGUAACCAUCUGUAAUUUAAGCAAAGGGACACUUCAAAAGGGUGUGACCCGGGCGUUGGUUGACCCGGGCGUAAGGGACCGAAAUUAGAGUAGGGAAGCACACUUGGCUGAAGGCGAGAAAAGCUUUGCGUAUAGAAACAGAUGCCCGUACCGCAAACCGACACAGGUGGACAGGAAGAGAAUUCUAAGGCCAGCGGGAGAAGGGUAGUUAAGGAACUCGGCAAAUUGACUCCGUAACUUCGGAAUAAGGAGUGCUCGAAAGAGCCGCAGAGAAUAGGCCCAGGCGACUGUUUAGCAAAAACACAGGUCUCUGCCAAAUCGAAAGAUGAAGUAUAGGGGCUGACACCUGCCCGGUGCCGGAAGGUUAAGAGGAGGAGUGAGAGCUCCGAAUUGAAGCCCCGGUAAACGGCGGCCGUAACUAUAACGGUCCUAAGGUAGCGAAAUUCCUUGUCGGGUAAGUUCCGACCCGCACGAAUGGUGUAACGAUCUGGGCACUGUCUCAACUACCCACUCGGCGAAAUUGUAGUACCGGUGAAGAUGCCGGUUACCUGCGGCAAGACGGAAAGACCCCAUGGAGCUUUACUGUAGCCUGAUAUUGGGUUUCGGAAAUCUAUGUACAGGAUAGGCGGGAGACUGGGAAACAUGAGCGUCAGCUUGUGUGGAGUCGAUGUUGGGAUACCGCCCUUAGGUUUCUGGAAUUCUAACCUGCGGCCGUGAAUCCGGUCGGGGGACAUUGUCAGGUGGGCAGUUUGACUGGGGCGGUCGCCUCCGAAAAGGUAACGGAGGCGCUCAAAGGUUAGCUCAGCACGGACGGAAACCGUGCCUCUGAGUGUAAACGCAAAAGCUAGCCUAACUGCGAGGGUGACGGCCCGAGCAGUAACGAAAGUUGGAGUUAGUGAUCCGGCGGUAUGUGAAUGGAAAUGCCGUCGCUCAACGGAUAAAAGCUACCCUGGGGAUAACAGGCUGAUCUCCCCCAAGAGUCCACAUCGACGGGGAGGUUUGGCACCUCGAUGUCGGCUCAUCGCAUCCUGGGGCUGUAUUCGGUCCCAAGGGUUUGGCUGUUCGCCAAUUAAAGCGGUACGCGAGCUGGGUUCAGAACGUCGUGAGACAGUUCGGUCCCUAUCUGUUGCGGGCGCAGGAAUAUUGAGAGGAGCUGUCCUUAGUACGAGAGGACCGGGAUGGACGUACCGCUGGUGCACCAGUUGUUCUGCCAAGGGCAUAGCUGGGUAGCUAAGUACGGACGAGAUAAACGCUGAAGGCAUCUAAGCGUGAAACUCCCCUCGAGAUAAGUGUUCCCAUCCUUCGGGAGUAAGGCCCCUUGUAGACUACAAGGUUGAUAGGUCAGGAGUGGAAGUGCAGUAAUGUAUGGAGCGGACUGAUACUAAUAGGCCGAGGGCUUGACCUU